rnacentral:rRNA from 1 species
GUGCACCAGGCGCGAAUACUCCGCAAUGCGGGCAACCGCGACGGGGCUACCCCGAGUGCCGGGCGAAGAGCCCGGCUUUUGCCCGGUCUAAAAAGCCGGGAGAAUAAGCGGGGGGCAAGUCUGGUGUCAGCCGCCGCGGUAAUACCAGCUCCGCGAGUGGUCGGGGUGUUUACUGGGCUUAAAGCGCCCGUAGCCGGCCCGGCAAGUCGCUCCUGAAAUCCCAGGGCUCAACCCUGGGGCGGGGGGCGAUACUGCCGGGCUAGGGGGCGGAAGAGGCCGCCGGUACUCCGGGGGUAGGGGCGAAAUCCGUUAAUCCCCGGAGGACCACCAGUGGCGAAAGCGGGCGGCCAGAACGCGCCCGACGGUGAGGGGCGAAAGCCGGGGGAGCAAAGGGGAUUAGAUACCCCUGUAGUCCCGGCCGUAAACGAUGCGGGCUAGCUGUCGGCUGGGCUUAGGGCCCGGCCGGUGGCGAAGGGAAACCGUUAAGCCCGCCGCCUGGGGAGUACGGCCGCAAGGCUGAAACUUAAAGGAAUUGGCGGGGGAGCAC